UGAAAGAAGCCAGAAAGGACUUUGAAUUUGUGAAGACCAACCUUGCAGCUGAAGGCUUUGAGGUUGUCUAUAAUAUAAAUAGACGAGAGGCUGACGAAGUAGAUCCAAUCUUAGACGCAUUGUAGAAGUUGGAGCAGUAAGCUUUUAUCAGAUCUCCUUAAUCCCUUUAAAAGUGUCUUAUCAUCAUCAUUUUAACAGCAUCUGAAGUUUGUGAAAUUUUAUAAUUAACAUGAAAUAACAAAUCUUUCACAGGUACAUAUAGUGCUCAUCAUCAGCUGGUGUUUAUCUCAAGUCUGAUCUACUACCACACUUUGAGGUGAAUAUGUGAUCAUACAUUGUCCUUCCAAGUUACAAGUCACUUACCCUUGUUGAGGUUACUUAGGAUUCACUGUAAGAUGAAUGAUCAAAUGAAGGCUUAAACUUCACCUGUGGCUCCCAGAGCUGUGUUAUUGUUUAGAGACAACGGAAUCAU